rnacentral:rRNA from 1 species
GACGUAGGAUGCAAGCGUUGUCCGGAAUUAUUGGGCGUAAAGAGUUCGUAGGCGGUUACUUAAGUCUGGUGUUAAAGACGGGAGCUCAACUCCCGCAUGGCAUUGGAAACUGGGUGGCUAGAGUGUGGUAGAGGUCUCGGGAAUUCCAGGUGUAGCGGUGAAAUGCGUAGAUAUCUGGAGGAACACCGGUGGCGAAAGCGGGUCUCUGGGCAACUACUGACGCUGAGGAGCGAAAGCGUGGGGAGCGAACAGG